AUUGAACGCUGGCGGCAUGCUUUACACAUGCAAGUCGAACGGCAGCGCGGGCUUCGGCCUGGCGUCGAGUGGCGAACGGGUGAGUAAUACAUCGGAACGUGCCCAGUAGUGGGGGAUAGCUCGGCGAAAGCCGGAUUAAUACCGCAUACGACCUGAGGGUGAAAGCGGGGGAUCUUCGGACCUCGCGCUAUUGGAGCGGCCGAUGGCAGAUUAGCUAGUUGGUGGGGUAAAGGCCUACCAAGGCGACGAUCUGUAGCUGGUCUGAGAGGACGACCAGCCACACUGGGACUGAGACACGGCCCAGACUCCUACGGGAGGCAGCAGUGGGGAAUUUUGGACAAUGGGCGAAAGCCUGAUCCAGCAAUGCCGCGUGUGUGAUGAAGGCCUUCGGGUUGUAAAGCACUUUUGGCGGGAAAGAAAAGGACUGUGCCAAUACCACGGUUCGAUGACGGUACCCGCAGAAUAAGCACCGGCUAACUACGUG
rnacentral:rRNA from 1 species